rfam:Salmo salar isolate Sally breed double haploid chromosome ssa12, whole genome shotgun sequence.
UGCACGCAUGAUUGUAAGUCGCUUUGGAGAAAAGCGUCUGAUAAAUGGCAUAUA